GAUGAACGCUGGCGGCGUGCCUAAUACAUGCAAGUCGAGCGAACGGACGAGAAGCUUGCUUCUCUGAUGUUAGCGGCGGACGGGUGAGUAACACGUGGAUAACCUACCUAUAAGACUGGGAUAACUUCGGGAAACCGUAGCUAAUACCGGAUAAUAUUUUGAACCGCAUGGUUCAAAAGUGAAAGACGGUCUUGCUGUCACUUAUAGAUGGAUCCGCGCUGCAUUAGCUAGUUGGUAAGGUAACGGCUUACCAAGGCAACGAUGCAUAGCCGACCUGAGAGGGUGAUCAGCCACACUAGAACUGAGACACGGUCCAGACUCCUACGGGAGGCAGCAGUAGGGAAUCUUCCUCAAUGGGCGAAAGCCUGACGGAGCAACGCCGCGUGAGUGAUGAAGGUCUUCGGAUCGUAAAACUCUGUUAUUAAGGAAGAACAUAUGUGUAAGUAACUGUGCACAUCUUGACGGUACCUAAUCAGAAAGCCACGGCUAACUACGUG
rnacentral:rRNA from 1 species